UACGUAGGGUGCGAGCGUUGUCCGGAAUUACUGGGCGUAAAGAGCUCGUAGGUGGUUUGUCGCGUUGUCCGUGAAAACUCACAACUCAAUUGUGGGCGUGCGGGCGAUACGGGCAGACUGGAGUACUGCAGGGGGAGACUGGAAUUCCUGGUGUAGCGGUGGAAUGCGCAGAUAUCAGGAGGAACACCGGUGGCGAAGGCGGGUCUCUGGGCAG
rnacentral:rRNA from 1 species